AGGAGCCAGAAGGGGCAAAGUUAGUAGUAGGAGAUGGGAGGAAAGAAGCAGGAGGGAGGUGAAGCAAGGACCAGGCCAUGGGUCAAAGGGUGCCUUCUGACUCUAGAUGCUGAAAAAGGCAAAGAAGUGGCUGUUUCUUCAGAGUCUCCAAGAGGUAUCAGCUCUGCUGACACCGUGGCUUCGACACACCGUGACUGACUUUGGAUUUCUAACCUCCAACUGUCAGGUGGGAGUAAAAAGCAAGCAGUUCCUGGCCCAUAAUACUCCAGUUUAGGAUGUCUGACUGAUGGCAUGCUGGCACCAGCCUUGGAGGAAGUGAUGAGCUUCAGCUCCAGGUUCCUGUCCUGAGACCACAGCAGGAUGUGCCUUGGUCAAAGGCUUGGACUCUUGGAUCAUCUGGUGACUUCAGAAUUCUGGUCUCAGGGUGGUGAACUUUUUCUUUGAAUUCCUAACCUGUGAGCCUGUGCAUUACUAACCACUGUGGGAUAAUUAAAGCAGGAAGGACAAAGGUGAAUGAAAAACUGAAAGGUGUCUUGAAGAUUGGUUCAAAGACUUUACAUGGCAAUAAUAAGUCUAAUCCUGUACUAGUCUUCUUAAAUAGCUAAAUAAUGAGUUUAUCUGUAAAAUACAGCACAGCUUACACAAACCUUAAUUCAUGAAUGUGUCUGUCCCUGAAGAUAAAUGAUAGUUAAAGGGAAAAAAAAAAUCCAGUGAAGAUAGACACUGAAUAGAAGUAACUGAUAACAGUUAAAUAUACUUUAUUUAAACAGAGAUUACAGAGUUUAAGGGCAAAUAAAGUUCAAAGAUACACAGCUGACUUAUUGGAGGAAGAAAACCAGUAGAAACUGAAGAGAUGUCAACAUGUAGAAUAUUUUAUUAUAUAUAAUUUGAGCCCCAAACUAAAAUGAAAUAUGCAAUAAAAUUAUAAUCUGAGAGUACAAACACCCUUUAAAAAGAAAAAAAUAAAUGGUGAAAUAUAUUCAGAAAAAAAAUUCCAAAUAACUAAGAUGUUUUGGUACUAUAAAUGAAGACUGAGUUUUUUUCUUUUUUGUAGUUAAAUGCUAUUUUAAUUUUUAUUUUUAACAUUUUAUUGUAGCAAAAUGCACAUAAGAUUAAAUAUACUAACCUUAGAGUAAAAUUAUUGGACACACAAAAUAUCAUCUGUAUAUUUUUAGUUCAUAUUUAAUGAUAUAUUGAUUUAACUGUUAAAGUACAAUAUUGUGUUUUCUCUCCCUGAAAAGUCAUAUUUUUAGUUCCUGGCCCAAUAUCUGGCAACAGCAGAUGGUCUCUGAACCUUUGCUAUCUAGAAUAUCAAGUUUAUAUAAACUAAGUAGAAGUUUUUUGUU